UACAGAGGUCCCAAGCGUUGUUCGGAUUCACUGGGCGUAAAGGGUGCGUAGGUGGCUUGGUAAGUUCGAUGUGAAAUCUCCGGGCUUAACCCGGAAAUGGCAUUGAAUACUAUUGAGCUGGAGGUUUGGAGGGGGACUGGAAUUCUCGGUGUAGCAGUGAAAUGCGUAGAUAUCGAGAGGAACACCAGUGGCGAAGGCGAGUCCCUAGACAACACCUGACACUGAGGCACGAAAGCUAGGGGAGCAAACAGG
rnacentral:rRNA from 1 species